UGAUGACACUUUCUCCGGAAUCUCUGCAGUCUCUGUGAUGACUCUGCUCGAACCCUUUUCCAGCUGAUGACUGUGGUGGCCUCCCUCAGC
rnacentral:snoRNA from 1 species